rnacentral:rRNA from 1 species
AACGGCUGGCGGCGUGCCUAAUACAUGCAAGUCGAACGGUCUUUCUAUGGAAGCUUGCUUCCACUGGAGAAGAUAGUGGCGAACGGGUGAGUAACACGUGGGUAACCUGCCCAUAAGAGGGGGAUAACAUCCGGAAACGGGUGCUAAUACCGCAUAGUUUUCUUGAUCGCAUGAUCGGGAAAGGAAAGACGGCCUUUGUGCUGUCGCUUAUGGAUGGACCCGCGGCGUAUUAGUUAGUUGGUGAGGUAACGGCUCACCAAGACGAUGAUACGUAGCCGACCUGAGAGGGUGAUCGGCCACAUUGGGACUGAGACACGGCCCAAACUCCUACGGGAGGCAGCAGUAGGGAAUCUUCCGCAAUGGACGAAAGUCUGACGGAGCAACGCCGCGUGAGUGAAGAAGGUUUUUUCGGAUCGUAAAACUCUGUUGUCAGAGAAGAACAAGUUGGAGAGUAACUGCUCCAGCCUUGACGGUAUCUGACCAGAAAGCCACGGCUAACUACGUGCCAGCAGCAGC